GAAUAUUGGACAAUGGGCGAAGGCCUGAUCCAGCAAUGCCGCGUGAGUGAUGAAGGCCUUAGGGUUGUAAAGCUCUUUUACUGGGGAUGAUAAUGACAGUACCCAGAGAAUAAGCUCCGGCUAACUCCGUGCCCGCAGCCGCGGUAAUACGGAGGGAGCUAGCGUUGUUCGGAAUUACUGGGCGUAAAGCGCACGUAGGUGGCUACUUAAGUCGGAUGUGAAAGCCCUGGGCUUAACCUGGGAAUUGCAUCCGAUACUGGGUGGCUAGAGUACGGUAGAGGGAGGUGGAAUUCCAGGUGUAGCGGUGAAAUGCGUAGAGAUCUGGAGGAACACCGGUGGCGAAGGCGGCCUCCUGGACUCAUACUGACACUGAGGUGCGAAAGCGUGGGGAGCAAACAGG
rnacentral:rRNA from 1 species